rnacentral:rRNA from 1 species
AACGAACGCUGGCGGCAUGCUUAACACAUGCAAGUCGAACGGUGAAAGGGAGUUUGCUCCCUGGAUCAGUGGCGAACGGGUGAGUAACACGUGGGCACCCUGCCCCAGACCUCGGGAUAACGCUUAGAAAGGAGUGCUAAUACCGGAUACGAACACCUUGGGCAUCCUUGGGGUUGGAAAGUUUUUCGGUCUGGGAUGGUCCCGCGGCCUAUCAGCUGGUUGGUGAGGUAACGGCUCACCAAGGCGACGACGGGUAGCCGGACUGAGAGGGCGACGGGCCACACAGGGAUUGAGAAACGGCCCAGACGCCUACGGGAGGCAGCAGUGGGGAAUAUUGCGCAAUGGGCGAAGGCCUGACGGAGCAACGCCGCGUGGGGGAUGACGGCCUUCGGGUUGUCAACCUCUUUCAGCAGGGAAGAAGCGAAAGUGACGGUACCUGCAGAAGAAGCACCGGCUAACUACGUGCCAGCCGCCGCCGUAA